UGUAUAGGCCUGGAUUAGGACUGGAAGAAUUUAGCCCUUUGCUGCUAGGAAAGACUACUUACCACCUACACUCCAGCAGAAGGUAGCAAAUAACAGCAGGAAAUCCAACUAGGCUGCAAAGCUGAAGACCAGCAAAAUCUUCAUAGAGAUGCCCAGCAGUUGAGUCCAGUAACAAAAGCAGUCUGCAGUGCACAUGGCCAGCAGCAGAGAUUUAUAACAGAGUAGCAAAUGUCCCAAAUUCAGUAGGAAAAAACAGCUUUCCAGGCAUUACCAGAACAUUGGCUCUACAGAAUUGGAAGUAUGGAUUGGUCCUGUCUACAUGUAGGGAGCACCCCACUUCUGGUCAUACCUGUUCUCUGUUUCUUCUAGGACAAUAGCAAGAAUCGCCCUUACUGAGCAGCAGGUGGACACAUCUGUGAGCCAAAAUACCCUGCUUCAUGGGGAAACCUUGUUUGUCGUUUCUACCACUGAUACUGAUGACAUAACCCUUCCACUCUUCACCCAGAGCAUCAUUAGAAACUUCAGUGGCCAUCUGUAUCUCAAAAAAGGAUCACUUGAGUACAAAGCAGCCAUCAAGAGCUCCAGUGCCUCUUUUAUAUUUGGCACGUGGAAAAUGAUGAGAGACUCAGGGAAGGAAAGCAUUCAGUUGACUCAACUUGAGGUACCCUCAGUUUCCCUCUGUUAAACAUUCUUCUCUUGCUAUAGCUAAGUAAAUUUCCUUUCAAUAUAUAUUGAAUGACCUAUGAAUUUCUCAUUUUGUUUCAAUACUGACACCAAGCUACCAGAAGACUAGCUUGAGGAAGUCAAGAACAAGGAGACUGGACUACAUGAAUUCUGAGUUCCCUGCUAGUAUGAAAGCUAUGAAACCUUCUAGCUCUAAAUCUAUGAUCCUGUGAUAUACCAUUUGGGGAAGGUCAUGGAAUUUAAUCUUAAUCUCUCGUUUGCAAAUGAGAAAGCCAGAGCCCAAAGAGGUAAAAGUGAUUUACCAUG
rnacentral:lncRNA from 1 species